AGAGUUUGAUCCUGGCUCAGGAUGAACGCUAGCUACAGGCUUAACACAUGCAAGUCGAGGGGCAGCAUGAUUGAAGCUUGCUUCAAUCGAUGGCGACCGGCGCACGGGUGAGUAACACGUAUCCAACCUGCCGAUAACUCGGGGAUAGCCUUUCGAAAGAAAGAUUAAUACCCGAUAGCAUAGUUUUUCCGCAUGGUUUCACUAUUAAAGAAUUUCGGUUAUCGAUGGGGAUGCGUUCCAUUAGAUAGUUGGCGGGGUAACGGCCCACCAAGUCAACGAUGGAUAGGGGUUCUGAGAGGAAGGUCCCCCACAUUGGAACUGAGACACGGUCCAAACUCCUACGGGAGGCAGCAGUGAGGAAUAUUGGUCAAUGGACGAGAGUCUGAACCAGCCAAGUAGCGUGAAGGAUGACUGCCCUAUGGGUUGUAAACUUCUUUUAUACGGGAAUAAAGUGGAGUAUGCAUACUCCUUUGUAUGUACCGUAUGAAUAAGGAUCGGCUAACUCCGUGCCAGCAGCCGCGGUAAUACGGAGGAUCCGAGCGUUAUCCGGAUUUAUUGGGUUUAAAGGGAGCGUAGGCGGGUGCUUAAGUCAGUUGUGAAAGUUUGCGGCUCAACCGUAAAAUUGCAGUUGAUACUGGGCGCCUUGAGUGCAGCAUAGGUAGGCGGAAUUCGUGGUGUAGCGGUGAAAUGCUUAGAUAUCACGAAGAACUCCGAUUGCGAAGGCAGCUUACUGGACUGUAACUGACGCUGAUGCUCGAAAGUGUGGGUAUCAAACAGGAUUAGAUACCCUGGUAGUCCACACAGUAAACGAUGAAUACUCGCUGUUGGCGAUACACAGUCAGCGGCCAAGCGAAAGCAUUAAGUAUUCCACCUGGGGAGUACGCCGGCAACGGUGAAACUCAAAGGAAUUGACGGGGGCCCGCACAAGCGGAGGAACAUGUGGUUUAAUUCGAUGAUACGCGAGGAACCUUACCCGGGUUUGAACGUAGUCUGACCGGAGUGGAAACACUCUUUCUAGCAAUAGCAGAUUACGAGGUGCUGCAUGGUUGUCGUCAGCUCGUGCCGUGAGGUGACGGCUUAAGUGCCAUAACGAGCGCAACCCUUAUCACUAGUUACUAACAGGUGAAGCUGAGGACUCUGGUGAGACUGCCAGCGUAAGCUGUGAGGAAGGUGGGGAUGACGUCAAAUCAGCACGGCCCUUACAUCCGGGGCGACACACGUGUUACAAUGGCAUGGACAAAGGGCAGCUACCUGGUGACAGGAUGCUAAUCUCCAAACCACGUCUCAGUUCGGAUCGGAGUCUGCAACUCGACUCCGUGAAGCUGGAUUCGCUAGUAAUCGCGCAUCAGCCAUGGCGCGGUGAACACGUUCCCGGGCCUUGUACUCACCGCCCGUCAAG
rnacentral:rRNA from 1 species